rnacentral:lncRNA from 1 species
UCUCAAGGACCGCCUCGAGAAAGGACUUCCAUUUGGUUCAGCGAUCCACCAUCGCAAUAUGGUGGACAGAUGCCCACGCGCAUAGGAGCUUCACGGGAACGAACCGUUUUGCAGCGGCAGGCGGCCAGAAGCCUGCACAUCAGCCAUUGUCCCCACAUAAAGUGGGAGCAUAGAGAGUCUCUUCCAGGCACUACAGUGCUGCCCAAAGCCUUUCGGAAGAGGAAGCGAAACAGGCCGCCCAGAACACCAGGCUUUUGGCUGUCCCAGAAGACAACCAAGUUGAGGCGAGGGCAGAAAAAAUAAACAGAGAAGUCAUUUUCAUUUCCAAA